rnacentral:rRNA from 1 species
CCCCUAGAUGUUCUGGGCCGCACGCGCGCUACACUGAACAGUUCAACAAGUCUUAACCUUGGCCGAUAGGUCUGGGUAAUCUUUGAACGCUGUUCGUGAUUGGGAUAGACCUUUGCAAUUAUGGGUCUUCAACGAGGAAUUCCUAGUAAACGCAAGUCAUCAGCUUGCAUUGAUUACGUCCCUGCCCUUUGUACACACCGCCCGUCGCUCCUACCGAUUGAACGUGCUGGUGAAGCGUUAGGACUGGCGCCGCGUGUCGGGUUCCCCUUCAACGGGGCGCCGGGAAUUUCGUUGAACCCUCCCGUUUAGAGGAAGGAGAAGUCGUAACA